GGUCUGUGCACCCGGCUGGUAAGAAGAUGGUUGGAGUUUGGAGCCCAGCCAGGGGCUGGCUGUGGGCAGGAUCCUUGCAUUGCCGGGGGUUGGACUAGAUGGCCCUUGGCAUCCCUUCCAACUCUACCAUGCUAUGAUUCUCUCAAGCAGCUAAAGGAACGGGCGGGGGAGCAAGAUGCAGAACAAGGAGAGGCACAACCACACACCCCAACCACACCCUCUGGCCUGACCCACGGUGGCCUCAUCCCAGCAGACUUUGACCCCCCUGAUUUUAUCUUUCUUAAUUCAGCUGCCUGGCAACCCAGCACCCUGGCCCCUGUUUGCCAGCUGAGGUCACAAAGUGCUGCUUUUCAAGCAAGCCUUAAAAUGCCCUGCAAGGGGGAUGCCUCUCAGAUGUCAGUGAGAGACUGAAAAAUGAAUUCUGAAGGUCCUAAGAGCCUAUUGUGGCGCCGGAAGGAGAAUGAAACUUUGGCCGUUGUGGGCCAUGGUUUGGGAAAGGCGGCAGCAGCAGCAGCAGCAGCCCAGCAGCAGCCCAGCGGUGCAGCAAAAUCCAGCAAAAUGUGGAGGCGAGAGGCCAGCCAGAACAAGGGG